GACAGCAAGGUGCAAGCAGAGAUAAGACAACCACCUGGGUCAGGAACUUGUAGAGAGGAUUCCUACAUGGAGUGGGAGACUGAAAUAAUAACCUCAAAGAUGCCUUCCAAUCAGAAGAUUUGGUGAUUCUUUCUGAGUUAUCAAACUGCCUUCCUUUGACCUUGCUCACAUGCAGAAAUCCAAGUCAGUCAUGUGAAGAGGUCUUUACACAUAGACUCUAACUAUGACAUCAAUCCUGAAACUGGGAGAGGACAAACCUGAGAUAAAAGCCUUGUUGGAGAUGCUUCAGCAGAAAGAUGGAAAGAUCCUGAGUGUUUGAUGACAUCCUUGAGUUGCAGGAUUAAGCAACCCUGAACCUGCCCAUGCUGGGCUUCAUGUAAUGUGAAGUAAUAAAUAUUACUUCAAGACA